AGGACGAACGCUGGCGGCGUGCUUAACACAUGCAAGUCGAGCGAGGCCCUUCCUUCGGGAAGGUGCCCUAGCGGCGAACGGGUGAGUAACACGUGGGCAACCUGCCCCUAGCACUGGGAUAACUCCGGGAAAACCGGGGCUAAUACCGGAUAUUACCUUCUUGGGCAUCCUCGAAGGUGUAAAGGAUUCUGGCUAGGGAUGGGCCCGCGGCCUAUCAGCUUGUUGGUGGGGUAACAGCCUACCAAGGCGACGACGGGUAGCCGGCCUGAGAGGGUGACCGGCCACACUGGGACUGAGACACGGCCCAGACUCCUACGGGAGGCAGCAGUGGGAAUCUUGCACAAUGGGCGAAAGCCUGAUGCAGCGACGCCGCGUGAGGGAUGACUGCCUUCGGGUUGUAAACCUCUUUCAGCAGGGACGAAGCGAAAGUGACGGUACCUGCAGAAGAAGCACCGGCCAACUACGUGCCAGCAGCCGC
rnacentral:rRNA from 1 species